rfam:Parapedobacter luteus strain DSM 22899 genome assembly, contig: LY06DRAFT_scaffold00002.2
UAGCAAACCUGUUCUAUCGCUCCGGCCGGAUGCCGGGGAGGAAAGUCCGGACAACGUAGAGCACCCCGCUUCCUAACGGGAAGGGUUUCGGCGAUGGCCGGAAUACGGAAAGUGCCACAGAAAAAAAACCGCCUGUGUUUCGGCAUAGGUAAGGGUGAAAACGUGGGGUAAGAGCCCACGGCUUUGCGUGGUGACACGCAUCGCGGUAAACCCCGGGGGUUGAAAGGCCAAAUAGGUUGCGGAGAUUAGGAGGUUGCUCGCUUCCAUCCCUCAUGGGAACCGCAACGGGUAGGCCGCUGGAGCUUGCCAGUGAUGGCAAGCCUAGAUAAAUGAUAGAAGUCCCAUGCACCUGCUGUAGCAGGCUAUUGGGAUACAGAAUCCGGCUUACAGGGUUUGCUUUUUU